UUGCAUGAUGAUUUUUUAUAUUUUUUAUCACGACGGUCAACAUAGUCUAUACAUUGAUGACCACCGCCUUUGACAAGGCAUUAUAUCUGAUA
rnacentral:snoRNA from 1 species